UACGUAGGGAGCGAGCGUUAUCCGGAAUUAUUGGGCGUAAAGGGUGCGCAGAUAGCACAUUAAGUUUCUUAUAAAAAUGCUAGGCUCAACCUAGUAAGGCAAAAAAUACUGAUGAGCUAGAGUACAAAAGAGGCAAGUGGAAUUCCAUGUGUAGCGGUAAAAUGCGUAAAUAUAUGGCAGAACACCAGUGGCGAAGGCGACUUGGUAGUUUGAUACUGACAUUGAGGCACGAAAGCGUGGGGAACAAACA
rnacentral:rRNA from 1 species